AUGCUUUACCUGCGCCAAAGGAAAGGCUUCCUGUAUUUCUUCUUGUGUAUGAUUUCUCACAUAAUUUUCGUAGCUGGGCAGAUAUUACAGAAUUCAUGGAUGGCUGCUAAUGUCCAAAAUCCUCAUGUUAGCACACUGAAGUUAAUUUUUGUGUACAUUAUUAUCGGAGCUUGCACAAUGAUCUUCUUGCUAUCAAGAUCUUUAACAGUCGUUAUUCUUGGGAUCCAGUCAUCAAGAUCCUUAUUUUCCCAGCUACUCAAUUCAUUGUUCCAUGCACUAAUGGCCUUUUUUGAUUCUACACCUCUAGGAAGGGUUCUUAGCCGAGUCUCUUCAGAUUUGAGUAUCGUUGACCUUGAUAUUCCAUUUGCAUUAGUGGUUAGCCUUGGUACCAGCUUAAAUGCAUGUAGCAAUCUAGGGGUAUUGGCUAUUGUUACAUGGCAAGUUCUGUUUGUAUCCGUGCCAAUGAUAGUUUUGGCAAUUAGGUUGUAG
rnacentral:rRNA from 1 species